GGGAUCUGUACUAUGCUGAUCUGGUAUGCCUGGCCCAGGAUGGGCCCCCAGAGGAUGAGGCGGCGGCUGAGCUCAGGAUGCAUUCACCUGGGGUGCCUGAGGGUCAGGUGCACAGGCUGGGCCACAGAGGAGACAGGGUGCCACCACUGGGCCCCCUGGCUGAGCUCUUUGAUUAUGGCCUUCGGCAGUUCUCUAGGCCCAGAGUAUCAGCUUGCCGAAGACUGAGGCUGGAGCGGAAGUAUAGCCACAUUACCCCCAUGACCCAAAGAAAAUUGCCUCCAUCCUUCUGGAAGGAGCCUGUACCCAACCCACUAGGCCUACUGCAUCCGGGCACACCAGAUUUUAGUGAUCUGCUGGCCAGCUGGUCUGCUGAGGGUGGCUCUGAGCUGCAGAGUGGAGGCACCCAAGUUCUGGAGGGGACACAGCUGGCCGAGAUCUAGUGAGUAGGUGAGUCAGGAGUGUGCUGGGGCAGCAAUGGCCUUUUCUACCUUCAGAACAACCAAGCACCUCCUUCUGUAGCACAGGUCCUGCCCUACCUAGUAGGUCUAUCUAAGUAGUCAUGCAGUUACCUCUCCCUCAAGAGGAGAACAGGCCCAAGAGGAUUUGAACUUAUCCCAAGUGUCUGGAACUGUUGCCACCAGCACUGAAAAAGACAGAGAGACAGGGAGACAGAGAGAGACAGAGACAGAGACACAGAGAGACAGAGAGAGAAGAGAGAGACAGAGAGAGUCAGAGAGAG
rnacentral:lncRNA from 1 species